rnacentral:scRNA from 1 species
GUACUGAGUUAUCUCAAUUGAUUGUUCACUUCACUUACA